rnacentral:misc_RNA from 1 species
AACGCACAUUGCGCUCCCUGGUAUUCCGGGGAGCAUGCUCGUUUCAGAAUCAUUAACAUUCUCAAAGACACGGUCUGAACCUUUGGGGGACGCCGUUACUCUUUCGGAUGUGAGCCCUUUUGCUGCAAGGCAAUGGCUUGAAAAUGAUUGUGUUUGCAACCGGCCUCCUUGGUUCGGUUCUCUCAAGUGCAACAGAUGUUAGCUCAUUCGUUACCUCUUGAUGAGAAGCGAUUCCAUUGUCCGGAUGAUCUUACACUCAACCAAAAUACACUCUCAGUGAUGGAAUUUAUCACUGUUUGAUAACUUGGUCUGAAAUCGAGCAAGAAAACCCGCUGAACUUAA